CUCGUGCACUUGGAUCUGCACACUAGCGAAGUGCUAAACGUUCGAAAGGAAUGGACGGACUUCACAAAAGUAUGCAAAUAAAAUCAGCCUAAGUUUGACAUUGAUAUACCACGGUCUAGUCAUGAGCGGGAGUUUCUGGUUCCGUCAAUUAGUGAACAUGAGCCUAAAAUGACAGAUGCAGCCUCUUUUUGGUUCUUACCUCGUGGCUCUGCUCCUGUUGCCUCUCGUUUCUUCCUGUGAAAGCACCAAACCAAUGGCUUCAGUAACUGCGGAUUACAUUAACAUUGUUUAUCCCUUCCUUCAAAACAUUGAAAAAAACAUUACAGCCUUGUUAGGGAAUGCAUCCUGUCAGGAAAAAAACCA